CGUGUAGGCGGUUGGUCAAGUCGGGUGUGAAAGCCUGGGGCUCAGCCCCAGAAGUGCAUCCGAAACUAGCCAGCUAGGGCGCGAUAGAGGAGGGUGGAAUUCCUGGUGUAGCGGUGAAAUGCGUAGAUAUCAGGAGGAACACCGGCGGCGAAGGCGGCCCUCUGGAUCGUUGCUGACGCUGAGACGCGAAAGCGUGGGGAGCAAACAGGAUUAGAUACCCUGGUAGUCCACGCCUUAAACGAUGGGUACUAGGUGUUCGGGGUGUUGACCCCCUGAGUGCCGCAGUUAACGCAUUAAGUACCCCGCCUGGGGACUACGGCCGCAAGGUUAAA
rnacentral:rRNA from 1 species